GGCUGGCUCCGGCCAAUGAUUGCUAUCCGAUUUCGCUUUACCUCGAAUCGAAAUCUCCGCAUUUGACUGUUUCUUUUUAUUUGAUGGUAGUGUGCAUGGGAAUUAGCAGCGGGAAAGUAGAAAUUAAGACGGCGAGUUGUUAAAUUACAGGACUCGCUAGUAAAUGGUUUCUCACGCACAGGCCCUCCAAACAAAGACUAGCUCAGACAAUUCCUAAAAUCAUCUGUCAAAUGUAGCUAUGGUAAUUGGCUAUGUUAGGCAUGGUGGUCGAACAGGUGAAGUCGACGGGACAUCUUGAAUAUUGUUUAAACAUGAAGAAUUUUUCCAAAUCAUGGACGGCGACAGUUCAACCACCGACGCCUCUCAGUUGGGAAUGUCAGGGGAGUACAUGGCAGGAAGCCACUACGUUCUUCAAUCACAGGACGAUGAUGGGGAUGAGAGCCUGCAUGACCAUGAGGAAGGCAACGGCAGCAAGGAAAACUUCCGUGAGCAGGACAUCUACCUCCCCAUCGCUAACGUGGCUCGCAUCAUGAAGAACGCUGUCCCACAGACAGGAAAGAUAGCAAAAGAUGCCAAGGAGUGUGUGCAGGAGUGUGUCAGCGAGUUCAUCAGCUUCAUCACGUCGGAGGCCAGUGAGCGCUGCCACCAGGAGAAGAGGAAGACCAUCAACGGCGAGGACAUCCUGUUUGCCAUGUCCACCCUGGGCUUCGACAUGUACGUGGAGCCCCUGAAACUCUACCUUCAGAAGUUCAGAGAGGUGAGAGGGAGAAGGGAGAGAGAGCCUGGGUGUGCGUGCGUGCAAUUUCUCGACCUAAGACAUUUGCCUGUGGACUGGUGCAUUCUCGAGUUCUCUAUGUAUGGCCUUGACUCAAACACAAAGGGCUUGAUGUUGCUGUGUCAUUCCCUUACCUGGCCAUUAAAGGGGAAUGGAAACACUUCAGGAGUAGAUCUAAGCAAAGAUAUAUAUUCAAUCCACUAAUACUAAACAUGUGCAUUUAUCAUAAAAACAUCUUUAUAUUUAGUGUUUUGAUUGUCGACCAGGUUUAUUUGAGCAAUGGUCAGCGCCAUUUUAAAUUGCCAUAGAAAUGACUGACGCCAGUGCAUCACUGGCAGGAAUCAGCAAAUUGUCUGUGGUAUUGAAUUUGUGCUAAGAGAGUGAAUCGUAGAGAGUGAGGAUAAGCGCGGACAAUGAAGAUGGCGACAAGUGGCUCCAAAAAAAUCCCUCUAAACUUCCAUCGGCUGCCCAAGGACCUACAACUUUUGAAGAAGUGGCUCCAUGUCCUGAAGAGGAAGGACGUGCCAGCUUGAGCUUGCAGGAUCUGCAGACAGCACUUCGCGGAGGGAGACUUCGCGAUGAAGGGCCAGGCUAGCGUUUGACACGAGAUGAAGGAUGACAUAUUCAUCCCUGAAAUGUUUUCAUCCUGGAGGAGCCUGUGCAGGAGGCAGAGCAAAGAACAGUUAGUGCAUCAUGCCAAACUGACCACCUGGUGCCAGAGUGUUCCUGUGCUGCGGUGGAGAAGAGGUCCAGCGGGACCAUCACCAAAGAGCUCAGGGCCCAGCUAGAUUGCGCUCAGAACCAUCAGUAUACAAUCGAGUCCUGCCCCUAUACGCCACAGAUGGAGCUGACGGAGAGUGAGAUCAGUGAAGACCAUAACUCGCUGUAUGGACCUGAGAGCUCAGAAUCACAAUCAUCUCAGUGUGAGCCAAGAUAUACUAUCAAUCACUUUGGGGGAGCGGGAUGGUGUUCCGAAAAUGGAGAAGGAGCAGGCCAUUCAACAGCCAAUUCAAAGAUACACCCAUCCAUAAAGGGAAUCCGAGUGGAAUAGUUUUCCCGCAUAUGUUUUUUUUUUUACUCUUUUCAAUGGAUGUGCUACCUACCUUGUCCCAGUUCUGCUGUUUCGACUCUCUCAAUCUAUGAAUGCUCAGCUAUGAAAAGCCAACUGACCUUUGCUUCUGAAGUGUUGCACUGUUGCACCCUCUAACCACUUUGGUUAUUAUUUUGAUGUAAAAGGGGCUUUUGUAAAAAUACAUUUGUUUGCUGUGCUGGAUGCUGUGUAUUCACUGUCUGAGUGAUGGGACAUUUUUAUAGUAUCUGUAGCAUAUUUUGGUGUGUAUUUAAUCUGCGUUUUAACUUCUUAAAAUGGCAAUCAGUAGUAGAAACAAUAACAAAGAGGCUCCCUGCUCUUCUUUUGGGUAAAAAGCUGAGGGACGGGCCGGAGAAAUGUAACCAAACUCAUAGACAGAGUUAUAGAUGCAAGGACUGACCAUCCAUGAUAUCAAAAUUGUAAUCCUCUUUCUAUGAUCUGUUUCCACUACCAUGUACCCAGUUUGCUUUGGAUAAAGGUGUCUGCUAAAUGGCAUAUAUUAUUGAAGUCUACUUUGACUCUGCCAACUAGUUGCCAGUGUAGGUACCAUUCCUUUCCAAUAGAAGGCAGCCAAAGCUAGUUGAAGUCACUACACUAGCGACAGGGACACAGGGUUAGUGCGCAUUGAAAGUAGUUUUAUCUUCAAAGCAAGUUUAUCUGGUUACACUUGAACCUGUUGUUAUAGUGGACAAGCUAACUCAUACCAUUUUUUACAUAAGACCCAGGCAUUAGGUAUAUGUCUUAGGCUAGAUUUACUAAAUUAAUUUUAAUCAAUGCCUUUGCUUCUGGCUAUUCUCCCUUGUGUCCCUCCAUAGGGUGAACUGGCGAUAAGCUGCCAGCCUGUAUGCUCUGCAAACAAUGUAUAUAUAAUGAGCACGCCCCAUUAUUGGUUAGAAUGAGAUUUCAUGAAUCAUGAUGUCUGCGAUUCGAACUCUGGUCGUCUAAUCUAAAGGUAAAUGUGUUACCUACGCGCCAAACAGUGCUGAUGAUAAACAGCGUUAUAGAAUACUAUAACGAAUACUACAUAUAUUGGACACCUACCCACUACUGAUAUUAACCUUAAACAAUUGAUAAUCAAGCAAAAUUUCACAAAUUAUUUAACUGGCAUAUCGACUGCUGACUGGCCGAGUAACCUCUUCAGCCAGGAAGUCCUUUGUAAGGAUUAGUGACGCGUUCAACAACUACAUCGUCAUCCAGACAGACUGACAGGAACCCAGCCACCAUCUGCUGGGAUUUUGUGCUGUAUCGCCACCAUCUCUCUACAACACACACACUCAUACUCUAGCCAUUACCUGGCAGCAUCCCCACUCACACCAGUUUGUGUUUGCCUACUCCAACCCUCUAGCUGAGGUGUUUCAGGCGGCAUAUCGGUGUUGUUAUUGCUACGAGAAUAGAUUCUUUGAUCUGGGGCAACGAUUGGCUCAAACAUGAACGGCUUCAGUAGGUUUAUUGGCUCCCUAACUAACCAUUAUUUAAUUCUCUGUAAUAAACUCAUUCGCAGACUUGGAGCUACUCUGUAAAUUCAGCCAUUUUGGGGAGUUCCAAAAUGCUCUCCUGCCAUUGACGCAACAAUGCCAAUAUGACGGUCUACAGCUGGCAUUGUAAAUCAUAGUGUUUCCAUUCCCCUUUAACAUAUCACACGGUUGAUGCUGUGGAAAUACAGCUCAAUGUUAAAUACUAACACAUUCUUAAUGUGUAU